rnacentral:rRNA from 1 species
UACAGAGGGGGCAAGCGUUAUUCGGAAUUAUUGGGCGUAAAGGGCGCGUAGGCGGCUUUGCAAGUGGAUGGUGAACUCCCUCGGCUUAACCGAGGAACUGCCGUCCAAACUGCUUGGCUUGAGACCAGGAGAGGUGAGUGGAAUUCCGAGUGUAGAGGUGAAAUUCGUAGAUAUUCGGAAGAACACCAGUGGCGAAGGCGGCUCACUGGACCGUUGUUGACGCUGAGGUGCGAAAGCGUGGGGAGCAAACAGG